rnacentral:tRNA from 1 species
GCUCAGUUGGUUGAGCAUCUGACUCUUGAUUUCAGUUCAGGUCAUGAUCACAGGUUUGUGGGAUCAAGUCCUACAUUGAGCU